AUUGAACGCUGGCGGCAGGCCUAACACAUGCAAGUCGAGCGAGCGGCGGACGGGUGAGUAAUGUAUGGGGACUGCCCGAUAGAGGGGGAUAACUACUGGAAACGGUGGCUAAUACCGCAUACUAUCGGAUAACCCAUAUGGGAUUGGCUAGUAGGUGGGGUAAAGGCUCACCUAGGCGACGAUAUCUAGCUGGUCUGCGAGGAUGAUCAGCAACACUGGGACUGAGACACGGCCCAGACUCAUACGGAGGCAGCAGUGGGGAAUAGUGCGCAAUGGGAGAAAGCCUGAUGCAGCCAUGCCGCGUGUAUGAAGAAGGCCUUAGGGUGGUAAAGCACGUGCAGCGGGGAGGCGUUACCCGAAGAAGAAGCACCGGCUAACUCCGUGCCAGCAGCCGCGGUAAUUC
rnacentral:rRNA from 1 species